UACAGAGGGGGGCAAGCGUUGUUCGGAAUUACUGGGCGUAAAGGGCGCGUAGGCGGCCGCCUAAGUCAGACGUGAAAUCCCUCGGCUCAACCGGGGAACUGCGUCUGAUACUGGGUGGCUUGAAUCCGGGAGAGGGAUGCGGAAUUCCAGGUGUAGCGGUGAAAUGCGUAGAUAUCUGGAGGAAUACCGGUGGCGAAGGCGGCAUCCUGGACCGGCAUUGACGCUGAGGAGCGAAAGCCAGGGGAGCAAAGCGGG
rnacentral:rRNA from 1 species